UUUGUCCUUUGCCUUCCGGAAACAGUGAGAGUGUCCCAUGAAGUUUCAAAGAAUUCGACCUUGGGGCUCUUUUAACUACAGCCAAGAAUGUGGGCUUCUAUUUGAAGGGCAGGAAGGAGACGUGAUGAUACAUGUAGUUUUGCUUACAGAGAGGCCCGGGGCUUCUGCCUAGAAGGACCAACUCAAAGAUUCAGAGAGUAAACAGACACUCCAUCAAAGUGGCCUGAGUGGUCUGUAAACAAAGAAGAUACAGGUUACCUACCUGACCCUUUCGGAGGAGCAGAUCCAAUGUAGUCUGACAGGACACAACCACUAUUGAUGUCAUUACCCUUCAUGUUGGCCACAAGGAAGUGGUGCCACUCCCUAAAGAAGAAAAGAAUCUGCCUCAAUUUCUUCACUGAUGGAGACCCAAAUAGGAUCAAUGUUGGAUUGGAGCAGACUACCUACAGUAAAGAAUGGAAUAGAGUUUGAGCUGGAAGAAAACAGGAUUCUGCUCUAGCUUAUUCUACUGUAGCUGUAGCAGGCAAAGUAAACACCUGCCUCUAGAAGAUAUAACUAGGGAGAAAGGGGGGAAACAGACAAGCCUGCUUCACCAGCUACCUCAAGCCUGUUAAAAACCAUGCAUCUAUAGGUUUGGAUAUCAAAAUUGAAAUCAUCAGAACAGAACAAAUUGAUGAAAGGAAAAAACACAUCCUUGGAUACAUUUUGGAGAGUUUUCAAGUGCUCCCUAAAAGGUUCAACAUGUUUUUGUUUACUUAUGUAAGACUUAACAUCUUUCAUUCCAUAUGUGCAUAUUGUUAGUUUUGAAUUAAAUGUUUACAAAAAAAGUUGAACCACUCUUCCUUUUUGUAGUGUAAAAAACUAUUUCUAUUUUUUCUGUUAUUUCUAGUAACAAUUUUUUGUUAAAGUGAUGCUCAGGAACACAUUUCCUUUGUCCCUCAGGUAUAGAGAAGGUAUGCUGCUUCUUCCCACUUCAUUCCAGUCAUUCAGCUCUUGAUUCUUAUUUUAAAAGACUGACAAAACAAAGAAAGAGGAGGGAGCUCUCUGAUAGAAGAGCCUAGAAUGGUGUUACUGCAACCAAGGGCCCUUUGGACACUUUGGACUACAGUAUUUGUGCUGACUGGAAGAUCCUGGGAGUUGUAGUCUGAAAAAGUAACUUUUUCCAAGUUCUGACUGUCACAAGGGCCAACCAAAAUUAGAUUUCCUCGAGUUCACCCCAGAGGGAGGACCCAUAUGCUUGCCUAGUACGCUCAACCUUUAGCUCAUGGGCAUCUGUAGGUAUUUCAAGAGUGUUCCAGCCUCAAACGGGAGGUCACACAGACCUGUAACCCAUAAUAUGACCAACACAAGCACUUUGAGUAUAUGGCCCUUUGUUAGAGAAUUGAUCUUUUAGACUGAGGAAGAGGCUUUUAAGAAGAGGAAAGUUUACUAUAUAGCAAAAUUUGAAAAAAUCUGUUCCUGGUUUGAAAGUUUUAUUUCCUGUUUACUUACUUUGUGGGAUACUUAUUUUGAAAGUAGUUUAGAAGCUUCAUUGAUGUGGAUGCCACAAAUUAUGUUGAAUUGGUGGAGACUCUAUUAGAUAUUCAUUGAAUAACUAUACCAAAAUGUGCUGCAGGAUGUCUCGCAAAAACCAAGUUUUUGCAGUUUAAUAAACGUUUUCCAUGUUUUUAUGAUAGAACCAAUUAGGAAAUGACAUUUAUAACGCAGGAACAAAAAUCGUGUUACAUAGUGCUGUACUUUUUACCAUUUUAAAUUCAAUUGCACUGCAAUGUUAUAAUUAAUUUGAUUGUGCUUUAAGAGUCUUGUACCUGUUUUUAUUUAUACCUGAUAAUAAAGAACACAGGAAGGUACAA